rnacentral:rRNA from 1 species
GCUCUCUUCGGAGAGUGAGUAGAGCGGCGCACGGGUGAGUAACGCGUGGAUAAUCUACCCUUGAGACUGGGAUAACAGUUGGAAACGACUGCUAAUACCGGAUACCCUGCAUAUUUAACUUUAUGUGGUAAAGAUGGCCUCUAUUUACAAGCUAUCGCUCUAGGAUGAGUCCGCGUCUCAUUAGCUUGUUGGUGGGGUAAUGGCCUACCAAGGCUACGAUGAGUAGCUGGUCUGAGAGGAUGAUCAGCCACACUGGGACUGAAACACGGCCCAGACUCCUACGGGAGGCAGCAGUGGGGAAUAUUGCGCAAUGGGGGAAACCCUGACGCAGCGACGCCGCGUGUAGGAAGAAGGCUUUCGGGUCGUAAACUACUGUCAGGAGGGAAGAAACUGUUUGGGUAUAAUACGCCCAUUCACUGACGGUACCUCCAGAGGAAGCACCGGCUAACUCCGUGCCGGCAGCCGCGGUAAUACGGAGGGUGCAAGCGUUAAUCGGAAUUACUGGGCGUAAAGCGCGCGUAGGUGGUUUGAUAAGCGAGAUGUGAAAGCCCC